CCACGAUGUUCAACCUGUUGGCUUUGCCCCUCAGCUCCAGUCUCCUGGUGCCGGACAAUAUGGGCCCGCGGGCUUACCAUAUCAGUCAGGUCCUCUCGGAUUUGGACCAAAUGUGAACUAUGGUGGUGGUGACGUGUUUGUUGGACCACAAGGUCACGGUGGAAAAGGGAAGCCUGCUGGGAAACAUGGUUUGUUUGCUCUCCCAGAGGAAAAAAUAGUGUAGAAUUUGAUUAAUUUUGUUCUUUUAGCAGAUAAUUUGGCACACCACCAAGGCCAGCCUCUCCAAUCGGC